AUUGAACGCUGGCGGCAUGCCUUACACAUGCAAGUCGAACGGCAGCACGGACUUCGGUCUGGUGGCGAGUGGCGAACGGGUGAGUAAUGCAUCGGAACGUACCUUUCAGUGGGGGAUAACUAUCCGAAAGGAUAGCUAAUACCGCAUAUUCUGUGAGCAGGAAAGCAGGGGAUCGCAAGACCUCGCGCGAAUGGAGCGGCCGAUGUCAGAUUAGGUAGUUGGUGGGGUAAAGGCUCACCAAGCCAACGAUCUGUAGCUGGUCUGAGAGGACGACCAGCCACACUGGAACUGAGACACGGUCCAGACUCCUACGGGUGGCAG
rnacentral:rRNA from 1 species